AUUUUUACUGCAAAAGGAAGAUCCCUCUUUUGAUAUUUACUACAUAAGCCGCCUCUAAACCUUUCUUCUCUCUUCCUCAUAUCUGAACGCUUCUAUUUUUCUGGAAGGUAAGAGAUGCCAUGGUUAUCGAUGCCAGCAAAAAGUUCUGAAUAAGGUACAUCCUGAUUCUCUUUCGAAUCAAUAUGAUUUUGAAUCGAUCUUAUAUUUAUGCUGUUUUAAGGGAUCUGUUAAAUCACAAUUUGUAUUCAAAGAAACUUAAAUCUGGGUCGAUAUUCUGCAUGAUGAUCCGGUUUUAUUCAAUCGAUCCGAAUGCGAAGUUGGAUGGAUUUUUCAAAGUACAUGGUGUUACUAAGAUAUGUUCGGCCGUGAUUUCUCUGUUCAAAGAAUUUGGUAUGUUUGGAUUUUCAUCUAUGCCUUAUCCCGAGCAUAGAGACCCUUCAUUCUAUGCGAUAAAACAUAACGUUUUAAUUGUUCUUAAGAAUGACAAACAAGUAGAUCAUAACUAUAUUAUUUUGGAUUGUGAAUUGUUCAAGAAGUUGAAAAUCCAUCGAAGCUGGGCAAAGAUAUUGCAAUAAGAAAAUAGAAUACCCAUUGAAGCUGUCCAAAAAUUUAAAUUUUGAUAGUUUGUAUGACAUGUUUUAAAGCUUUUUUAUCUGUGGACAAAAUGAUAAUUUAAUUAUAGAUGAUAGAUGUAUUUUGCUUAUACUAUGUUUUCAAACUAUCCUAUUAUAGAAUGAUAGACAAUGCUUUGAAACGUUUCUAUUUGUAAGUACCAUCCAUCAAAACUAUAAUUGGCAAACGUAUUUAUGAUUCUUUCACUAAUUGAUUUUAUUGUGGUAUAGGGAGCAUGGAACUCAUGUGAAAAUUUGGGAGUAAUUGUAAAUAAAGUUUCAUAUAUGUAUUCUUAGAUGGUCUUGUGCAAAAAAAGUAAUUACUUAAGUUGUUUCAUAUAAUUAGGGUGUUCAUAUCCAUAUAAUUAUAGGUUUACAAUCCUUCUGUUUGUUUGUUUCUUUGAACCAAUAUAUUGGAAAAGGGAAAAAAAGAGAGAUUUGUUGCAGGACUAUUAUAUAAUUUAUUUAUUUUUAUAAUUUUAAUCCAAUGUUGCAAUUAAACCAAAGUGUUUAGUCCUCUUUUAUUAAGUUUUUUAUUUUUUAAAAUGUUGCUUUUUUAAAACUAAAAUUUGGAAUGAAGUGUUAUUAAAAAAAAUGGAAUGAAGUAGUUUUUCUUUCCUUCUUGAUGCAAAGAUAGCAAUUUGUUGCCCAAUCUUUAAUAUAAAACUGCCUCCUACUUGCAAGAUAAGUCGAUAUAUAGAAUUUUUGUAGAUUAAAAAUACUCUUCAGUGUUUUUGUUUCCCAUUCAGUGUUCUGGAAUUGCUACUCUAAUAUAAAGCUUCCUAGGUAGGUACUAAGCAGAGAAUAUUUUACUGAUGUUACCUAUCAAUACGGGAUAAAUAAUUUUUUUGGUCACUGUACUAGGGUCCGGUUUUUAUUGUGGUUAUCAAAAUUUUUUUUGUUACAAUCGAAUAACUGUACUUUCAAAAAUUUACCAAAUAGUCAUUCCUUAUGAAUUCCGUCCAAAAAACGGACGGGAAGUGCUGAGUUGGCGAUUUGACUCCGUUUUUUUUGCUAAUAUGUAUAUAGUUUUGCCAUGUAUAUCAUUAUGUGUCAAGCACAUGCUCAUAAAUAUUAAGAAUAAUUGUAUCUUAAUAAUAAUUUUAAAAUAAUAAUAAUAAAAAUAAUAUUAUUAAGAAUAAUAAAAAUAAUAAUAAUAAUUUUAAGAAUAAUAAUAAUUUCAAA
rnacentral:lncRNA from 1 species